rnacentral:rRNA from 1 species
GAUGAACGCUGGCGGCGUGCCUAAUACAUGCAAGUCGAGCGAACGGACGAGAAGCUUGCUUUUCUGAUGUUAGCGGCGGACGGGUGAGUAACACGUGGAUAACCUACCUAUAAGACUGGGAUAACUUCGUGAAACCGGAGCUAAUACCGGAUAAUAUUUUGAACCGCAUGGUUCAAAAGUGAAAGACGGUCUUGCUGUCACUUAUAGAUGGAUCCGCGCUGCAUUAGCUAGUUGGUAAGGUAACGGCUUACCAAGGCAACGAUGCAUAGCCGACCUGAGAGGGUGAUCGGCCACACUGGAACUGAGACACGGUCCAGACUCCUACGGGAGGCAGCAGUAGGGAAUCUUCCGCAAUGGGCGAAAGCCUGACGGAGCAACGCCGCGUGAGUGAUGAAGGUCUUCGGAUCGUAAAACUCUGUUAUUAGGGAAGUACAUAUGUGUAAGUAACUGUGCACAUCUUGACGGUACCUAAUCAGAAAGCCACGGCUAACUACGUG